UACGAAGGGGGCUAGCGUUGCUCGGAAUCACUGGGCGUAAAGGGUGCGUAGGCGGGUCUUUAAGUCAGGGGUGAAAUCCCGGGGCUCAACCCCGGAACUGCCUUUGAUACUGGGUAUCUUUGAGUCCGGAAGAGGUGAGUGGAAUUCCGAGUGUAGAGGUGAAAUUCGUAGAUAUUCGGAGGAACACCAGUGGCGAAGGCGGCUCACUGGUCCGGUACUGACGCUGAGGUGCGAAAGCGUGGGGAG
rnacentral:rRNA from 1 species